UACGGGGGGGGCAAGCGUUGUUCGGAAUUACUGGGCGUAAAGGGCUCGUAGGUGGCCAACUAAGUCAGACGUGAAAUCCCUCGGCUUAACCGGGGAACUGCGUCUGAUACUGGAUGGCUUGAGAUUGGGAGAGGGAUGCGGAAUUCCAGGUGUAGCGGUGAAAUGCGUAGAUAUCUGGAGGAACAUCGGUGGCGAAGGCGGCAUCCUGGACCGGUAUUGACGCUGAGGCGCGAAAGCCAGGGGAGCAAACGGG
rnacentral:rRNA from 1 species